ACCGCGGGCCAAAGAGCUCCGCCUCUGCAUAUAGGCCCGUGUAGUACCGCGGCUCGACUGUAGUGUUGCCUUACUCUCUCAUUUGAAGCUUCUGUGACUGCAACUUGCACAGCUCCGUCGUGAUGUCUGAGGCUCUCGGACGCAGCCGUCAUUCCCUUGAAGGCACAAUGAGGAAAAACCUAACAUCUGGUUGUUGAAGACUUUACAAGACCAUUCCUCAUUUAAGCCAAGUCCACUUAAUAAGUCCUGGAGAAUGUUCUACUCAAGGCAACAAGUACACACAGAGCCCAAAUGAACUAUAAUUAAGGUGGCAAGAGACCAAGGAAAAGAGCAGUGUUAGUUCAAUUGUUUCCUUUGCACGGGUAACAGAUGGACUCCAAGCUCUAAUAACCCUUUUGUACUUCAGCUAAGGCUGACAAUACAUCAUUAUACUCAGAUGGAAGCAAGAAGAAGGUGCCUAGCAACUUGGACUUGGAAUGCCUAGGCUUUUGUCAAUUUACAUCAUAAUCUUAAUAGUAAACAGGCUUGCUCUCAUUUGCCAGUCAUCACCUCAUUUUAUGCUUUUCAAACACAAGAAGAUUAAAUAGUCUUUCUUGAAAGUACUUUAGCCCCUUAGAUAUAGAACAGUAGUAGUAUUUAAGAGUCUCCCCUUAUAACUGUGUACAUAAAACUGCCAUUAGCCUUGAUGGAAAUUAUAUCAGUAAGUUGGGGGGCCUACUAUGGGUAAUAUUUUCAUUAGCAAAAGUAUGCACAUAACCCAGGCUCUUUUUGGAUUUCAGUAGGAUACCAAGGACUAUUUUUGGGGCCUCAUUACUCUUGUAUUCUUGUGCUUUAUGUAUA